AUUUUCCUUAAAAUUAAUCUUCUACAAACAUUUUUUUAUGAAAUCAUGCCCUAUUAAUAAAAAUUUAAAUCUAAUGAAAAAAAAUAUUUUGUGUCAAAACUCUUGCUGGUUAUAAAAUUGUUAUAAUGUUUAUUAGAAAGUGUAACUUGGGACCAUGAAACAUUUGUAUUGUUAAUUCUUUUGAGUGAUUGCCUUCGUUUACGAGUGUUUAAGCGUUCUAUUUAAAGGUCAUUAGUGUGGACUGUCGCCGGUAUGCACUGUUCACUGACCUGAAUAUGAUUUGGACGGCAGUUGAUUGUGAGGUGUACAGAGCAAUCAAAUAGCAGAGAUAGAAACCAAGAUGGGUGCUAUAAAUGAAGGCACCGAAAUGCUGGAGAAAAAGCAG